rnacentral:rRNA from 1 species
CUGACGAUGCUUACCAUGCAAGUCAAUCGAACUUCAGUUUGGGUGGCGGACGGGUGAGUAACGCGUAAAGAAGUUGCCUUACAGUCUGGGACAACAUGUUGGAAACGGAGAUGCUAAUACUGGAUAUUAUGUUUUUUUCGCAUGAAGGAGAGAUGAAAGCUAUGAGGCGCUGUAAGAGAGCUUUGCGUCCCAUUAGCUAGGUGGAGAGGUAACGGCUCAGCAAGGCGAUGAUGGGUAGCCGGCCUGAGAGGGUGAACAGCCACAAAGGGGACUGAGACGCGGCCCUUACUCCUACGGGAGGCAACUGUGGGGAAUAUUGGACAAUGGACCAAGAGUCUGAUCCAGCAAUUCUGUGUGCACGAUGAAGUUUUUCGGAAUGUAAAAGUGCUUUCGAUUGGGAAGAAGAAAGUGACGGUACCAACAGAGGAAGCGACGGCUAAAUACGUGCCAGCAGCCGCGGUAAU